UAGGGAAUCUUCCGCAAUGGACGAAAGUCUGACGGAGCAACGCCGCGUGAGCGAAGAAGGCCUUCGGGUCGUAAAGCUCUGUUGUCAGGGAAGAACAAGUACCGGAGUAACUGCCGGUACCUUGACGGUACCUGACGAGAAAGCCACGGCUAACUACGUGCCAGCAGCCGCGGUAAUACGUAGGUGGCAAGCGUUGUCCGGAAUUAUUGGGCGUAAAGCGCGCGCAGGCGGUCCUUUAAGUCUGAUGUGAAAUCUUGCGGCUCAACCGCAAGCGGCCAUUGGAAACUGGGGGACUUGAGUGCAGGAGAGGGAAGUGGAAUUCCACGUGUAGCGGUGAAAUGCGUAGAGAUGUGGAGGAACACCAGUGGCGAAGGCGGCUUCCUGGCCUGUAACUGACGCUGAGGCGCGAAAGCGUGGGGAGCAAACAGG
rnacentral:rRNA from 1 species